rnacentral:tRNA from 1 species
GUGGCUCAGUGGAAAGAGCACGGGCUUUGGAGUCCGAAGUCAUGGGUUUGAAUCCCAAC